CCGCGGAGCCGAUCCGAUCCGAUCAGAUCCGAUCCGCCGGUGCCGAUCCCUGGAGCCCAUCGAUCCCCGCGGAGCCGAUCCGAUCAGAUCCGAUCCGCCGGUGCCGAUCCCCGGAGCCCAUCGAUCCCCGCGGUGCCGAUCGAUCCCUGCGGUGCCACUGCCCGCUCAGCGGGUCCGCCCGCGCCGGGCGGUGGCCGGCGCGCUCUCGGGGGGCGCUGCCCGCGCUCCAGGUAGCUUGGGGCUGCGGUUGCGUCCGCAGGUAAAGGCGCUGCGGGACGUGCGCUGUUCCGAUCACCGAAGGUUUCUGUAGUCAGCAAAUUACCAAAUCCUACCGAAAUCCACGGUCGUGUGUCCCGCUGACCGGGGGCCAGCCGCGGGCCGCGCCGCCUCGGCUACGGAGAGUUUGUCCCCGUUCCUCGUCCUACCACAGCUUCAGGGCCGAAGUCACCAUUUUUAAAGUUAUUUACACAAUGGAAUAAACGCUACUUGCUUGCUACUGCAAGUGCUGCGGUAGGAGGGGAGACUCGCUGCAAUAGAGUUCAUUGCCUGGGGGCUCCAAGCUGCAGCGCAGGAGGGGCGGCAUGCACGCUGCAUCCGCCGGGAACGUGCUUCCCCCCGUGCUACAGCCGCUCUACUGUGACACGGCACAGGCAUGUUUUACAUCAGCGUUUAUCUGUCAGGAUUUGACAGGCACAAAACUUCAGUCAGUUAAAGUACAGUAUUUUCCAUAAAUGUGAACAAUUAUGCAAAAUGACGCUUGUUUUACUGCUGUAAGUAUACUAAUUUAACAAUGAAAUUAAAAGCUACGUCAACAGCAACAUGAAGAUCUGUUUAAAAUACAAGCUAGUACUUGGAGAAAAUUAUUUUCAUGUGUACAUACAAUUAAGUAAUUUGAAAAACAAAGUUCACCCAUUUAAUUCUAACAUCUAAAAUCUUUGCCAUAUAAAUUCACCUUAACAUGUAAUCACUUUAAAAUUCUUGACAGCAUAAUAAAAUGUUGCAAAUUAACAACAUCCCAGACAAGAUCAAAGUUAUGGAUGCAGAAAUAUAUAAAUUAUCAAUAUGGAAUAAAAAUACAUGCAUUCAUCACCAAGAGACUACAGUUGUCUUCUGGAGUUGCAAAUAAAAUAUUUUUAACCCAACUGUUCCAAAUUCUAGACAGCUGCUGAUACAUUGCUUCAUGGUUUAUGAAGUUCCGCAAUUAAGAGGCAUCUGGGAUCACAUUAUUUAAUAAGAGUGAUAAGUACUUCAGUUUUCAGUGCUGUUCUGCACUUGCAUAUCAGCAGUGAGAGUGAGCUGGCAGAGACUAUGAAUCUGAUGUUAUCAGCAGGUUAAACUUUCAUCUGGAGGUUGUAUUAAUCCCACCACACUUUCCUGCUGAUCCUCCGUGACCCUGAAGGGAUUAGAAUGACAACACCUCCCCCAGAAGCAGGCUUGAGAUGGCCGGAGGAAGCACGGGCAGUGCAUGGGCAGUGCAAGGAGCAGCUUGGGCAUGCCAUGGCCAGCUUCCUUAUGGCAGCUCCAUAGCAGCUGACCCAGAACAGAAGCGCUGCCAAGUCUCACGUUCUGCACCACUGCAGCUCAGGAACUGCACAGCCAUGAAGUGUGCAAAGCUUCAUACCCUCAGCUAUGAAAUUCUCUCAAAAGGAAAAGGAGGCUGCAGCUGACUACUGCAAACUCUGGUUUUGCCACGUGGAAAUAUUCCCUUAUAUCAAACUUGCUAAGUUGUCCCUGAGCCUGAGCAGACAAUAGACAGCAGAGUUGAUUUAAUGCAGGGUAGAGACCAGAGCUAGACCAUUUGAAGCUUGAGGACCCGAUUGGAUCUGUGUGCAUCCUACCCUACAGAUAUAAGUUACUAAUGUAAAAUCCUCCCCCAGGCCAAGGAAAGAAUGCAUACCUGCAGCAGAUGUUGGCUCACUCAAUAUGAUUACAAGGGAAAAUAAAGUCAAUGUGGGUCCCAAUCACAGCAGAUGCACUGGCUAUUUGUAAAGCAAGGUUUUUCAUCAUCUUCCUGGAGACAGGAGAACCAAUACUUUUCUAUCUGACCGUACCUUCAAAACCAAGAAGAAGAAAUUUCACUGGUGAAGAUGAAUUGAAAAAUGGCCAUUAAUAUGGGAAAGAAAAGGUAACAUGAACUGGAAUGAGGUGUAAACAACAGGAAGAGGGAUGAUGUAAACAAAUGCUAGAGGACAUUGUCUCUGUUAUGGUCAGUUUUUGGAAAAGUCAGUACAGGGUAAGCGUGGACUAAAAAAGGAACCAAAGCUAUGGCAACCAUUUUGCAAAUAACUCUACAAAUAAAUACAGUCUUUAGCUGUCUCUGAAAACUAUGAGAUUACUCAUCCAUAAAAAUGCUGAGGUUCUGGCAUAUUAUUCACUUAAAAUACAAAUAGUGAUUCUUUCCCAUUCAUUUAUUCUAAAAGACUAGAAUUUUAAGCACAGUGGCAAACAUUACCACUUCAGAAGAUCCCACUGCUAUAGUGUAAUGGCAGAAGUUUGGUCAUCAACAUCACAGUGAAAUGACAGCAGAAUACCAGAAGUUUUGCACUGCUUUACAUAAAAGAAUCAAGACCACAACCUGUUUAAAAUACUGAGCGAGGAUGUGUGGCAGAGUGAAGUGGGAAAAGAAACCCAGUUUGUUUCUCUUUGCUACUUCUACUUUAUGAUUCAAAUUUUUCCUGCAAAGUUCUUCUCUUCUUGCAAUGACCUUCUUGAUAUGACUACACUGGCUCUUCAGGUAUAAAGGCUGUGCUUGAUACCAAACUGGAAGAGCCCCAGGAUGAGCCAGGGGCCUGCAUCAGGCAUUUCUCUGGCUCAGGCUGGAAAGCACUUCUCAGAUCUUCACAGUUCAUGUUAUCUACGUUACCAUUAGAGAGUGAGGCAUAAAAAAGCAACAAGUAGUCACUUACCUUUCAGAUUACUUUUAACCUAUUUUUACUUCCUCCAUGACAACAUUUCUCAUUUUAUACUGAAAAUUCAGCUCACUUCAGAAGUGAGAUCUUUUGCUUACUGCGGUAGAAAAAGGGCAUUUUAAUGUAAAUGUUGAAAAUGUUGAAAUGUCCUUCUACACUUUAUAUGCAGUUAAUGCUCAUUACAGAAUUAUCUGAUCUGAUUUAAUAAUUCCUAAAGUGUAAAUUAUUUUAUCAAUGUGCAAUAAAAUAGAGUUAACAGUUACAUUGUUGCUUGAGAGAGAACUGAAUUUUGGAUCUUCAAAAUGUUUCAAUGUGAAAAUCCAAAAGACUCCUUUUAGUUUGCUUUCUUUACAGAGGGAAAUUCAGUCAAACCCAUUUGUGCACUGGCCAUAAUUGCAGGGGGAGCUUUGUGUGGAUGCACUGCAGCAAUGUGACACAGUUUCUGGAGCUGCAGAGACAGAUUGACACAUCUCUGGUAUACUCAGUACUGACAGUUGUUUGUUUUUCCAAUCACUAUUAGCUGUUCUUCCCCAAAUAUCUUCAGCCACAUCUUGUCCUCAGAUCUCAUCCUGGAAAGUGACCUGAUCAAAUAGACUUUUCAUUUCAGGAGACGCCUGGCACUAAUUUAUUUGGAAGACCAGGUAGAAAGUACAGCUUUCCCCAGAAGUUCUGUUAUUUAACUGCACAAAAGGUUUACAGAGCAGAAGUAUUUUUUUCCCUGUCAUUUUUAUGCAUAUAUGAAGUAUUUGAUAUAUAUCUUUUAAAUUACACAUUAGGAUUUCCUGGAAUUUCUGUUUUGACUGCUUAAGUGACAUGGGCUUGACUGUUAACAUUUUUUAAAAGAAGUAGUUUAAAUUGGUGCAGUUGUUCUUUCAGUGAAUGACUGAAAAUAGUUGUGGAAAGUUUCAGAUUCUUUUUUGAACAGUUGUAGAUAACUGGACAGUAGAUUUUUGAACAGUAAAUUUCAGUAUUUUUAUCAUUGUACUUUGAAAUAGCUAUAAUUUAUUUUAUAACUGCCAUUCUGAAUUGAAAAAUGGAAAAUAAACAUUUUGGCACGUUUAA